UCAGAGGCGAUGAAGGACGUGCUAAUCUGCGAUAAGCGUCGGUGAGGUGAUAUGAACCGUUAUAACCGGCGAUUUCCGAAUGGGGAAACCCAGUGUGAUUCGACACACUAUCAUUAACUGAAUCCAUAGGUUAAUGAGGCGAACCGGGGGAACUGAAACAUCUAAGUACCCCGAGGAAAAGAAAUCAACCGAGAUUCCCCCAGUAGCGGCGAGCGAACGGGGAGGAGCCCAGAGCCUGAAUCAGUGUGUGUGUUAGUGGAAGCGUCUGGAAAGGCGCGCGAUACAGGGUGACAGCCCCGUACACAAAAAUGCACAUACUGUGAGCUCGAUGAGUAGGGCGGGACACGUGGUAUCCUGUCUGAAUAUGGGGGGACCAUCCUCCAAGGCUAAAUACUCCUGACUGACCGAUAGUGAACCAGUACCGUGAGGGAAAGGCGAAAAGAACCCCGGCGAGGGGAGUGAAAAAGAACCUGAAACCGUGUACGUACAAGCAGUGGGAGCCUCUUAAUGGGGUGACUGCGUACCUUUUGUAUAAUGGGUCAGCGACUUAUAUUCUGUAGCAAGGUUAACCGAAUAGGGGAGCCGAAGGGAAACCGAGUCUUAACUGGGCGUUAAGUUGCAGGGUAUAGACCCGAAACCCGGUGAUCUAGCCAUGGGCAGGUUGAAGGUUGGGUAACACUAACUGGAGGACCGAACCGACUAAUGUUGAAAAAUUAGCGGAUGACUUGUGGCUGGGGGUGAAAGGCCAAUCAAACCGGGAGAUAGCUGGUUCUCCCCGAAAGCUAUUUAGGUAGCGCCUCGUGAAUUCAUCUCCGGGGGUAGAGCACUGUUUCGGCAAGGGGGUCAUCCCGACUUACCAACCCGAUGCAAACUGCGAAUACCGGAGAAUGUUAUCACGGGAGACACACGGCGGGUGCUAACGUCCGUCGUGAAGAGGGAAACAACCCAGACCGCCAGCUAAGGUCCCAAAGUCAUGGUUAAGUGGGAAACGAUGUGGGAAGGCCCAGACAGCCAGGAUGUUGGCUUAGAAGCAGCCAUCAUUUAAAGAAAGCGUAAUAGCUCACUGGUCGAGUCGGCCUGCGCGGAAGAUGUAACGGGGCUAAACCAUGCACCGAAGCUGCGGCAGCGACACUAUGUGUUGUUGGGUAGGGGAGCGUUCUGUAAGCCUGUGAAGGUGUACUGUGAGGUAUGCUGGAGGUAUCAGAAGUGCGAAUGCUGACAUAAGUAACGAUAAAGCGGGUGAAAAGCCCGCUCGCCGGAAGACCAAGGGUUCCUGUCCAACGUUAAUCGGGGCAGGGUGAGUCGACCCCUAAGGCGAGGCCGAAAGGCGUAGUCGAUGGGAAACAGGUUAAUAUUCCUGUACUUGGUGUUACUGCGAAGGGGGGACGGAGAAGGCUAUGUUGGCCGGGCGACGGUUGUCCCGGUUUAAGCGUGUAGGCUGGUUUUCCAGGCAAAUCCGGAAAACCAAGGCUGAGGCGUGAUGACGAGGCACUACGGUGCUGAAGCGACAAAUGCCCUGCUUCCAGGAAAAGCCUCUAAGCAUCAGGUAACAUCAAAUCGUACCCCAAACCGACACAGGUGGUCAGGUAGAGAAUACCAAGGCGCUUGAGAGAACUCGGGUGAAGGAACUAGGCAAAAUGGUGCCGUAACUUCGGGAGAAGGCACGCUGAUAUGUAGGUGAAGCGACUUGCUCGUGGAGCUGAAAUCAGUCGAAGAUACCAGCUGGCUGCAACUGUUUAUUAAAAACACAGCACUGUGCAAACACGAAAGUGGACGUAUACGGUGUGACGCCUGCCCGGUGCCGGAAGGUUAAUUGAUGGGGUUAGCGGCAACGCGAAGCUCUUGAUCGAAGCCCCGGUAAACGGCGGCCGUAACUAUAACGGUCCUAAGGUAGCGAAAUUCCUUGUCGGGUAAGUUCCGACCUGCACGAAUGGCGUAAUGAUGGCCAGGCUGUCUCCACCCGAGACUCAGUGAAAUUGAACUCGCUGUGAAGAUGCAGUGUACCCGCGGCAAGACGGAAAGACCCCGUGAACCUUUACUAUAGCUUGACACUGAACAUUGAGCCUUGAUGUGUAGGAUAGGUGGGAGGCUUUGAAGUGUGGACGCCAGUCUGCAUGGAGCCGACCUUGAAAUACCACCCUUUAAUGUUUGAUGUUCUAACGUGGGCCCGUAAUCCGGGUUGCGGACAGUGUCUGGAGGGUAGUUUGACUGGGGCGGUCUCCUCCUAAAGAGUAACGGAGGAGCACGAAGGUUGGCUAAUCCUGGUCGGACAUCAGGAGGUUAGUGCAAUGGCAUAAGCCAGCUUGACUGCGAGCGUGACGGCGCGAGCAGGUGCGAAAGCAGGUCAUAGUGAUCCGGUGGUUCUGAAUGGAAGGGCCAUCGCUCAACGGAUAAAAGGUACUCCGGGGAUAACAGGCUGAUACCGCCCAAGAGUUCAUAUCGACGGCGGUGUUUGGCACCUCGAUGUCGGCUCAUCACAUCCUGGGGCUGAAGUAGGUCCCAAGGGUAUGGCUGUUCGCCAUUUAAAGUGGUACGCGAGCUGGGUUUAGAACGUCGUGAGACAGUUCGGUCCCUAUCUGCCGUGGGCGCUGGAGAACUGAGGGGGGCUGCUCCUAGUACGAGAGGACCGGAGUGGACGCAUCACUGGUGUUCGGGUUGUCAUGCCAAUGGCACUGCCCGGUAGCUAAAUGCGGAAGAGAUAAGUGCUGAAAGCAUCUAAGCACGAAACUUGCCCCGAGAUGAGUUCUCCCUGAGCCUUUAAGGGUCCUGAAGGAACGUUGAAGACGACGACGUUGAUAGGCCGGGUGUGUAAGCGCAGCGAUGCGUUGAGCUAACCGGUACUAAUGAACCGUGAGGCUUAACCUU
rnacentral:rRNA from 1 species